rnacentral:lncRNA from 1 species
GACACUAAGCCUCAAAUAUACGUUUAUCAUGCCAGAUUUAUGUAUCGCUUUAAAAAAUGCUACUUUUUUGGUGGUAGUACAGUUGUUAUGGUGACUCUCCUCUCAUUCCCUCUUCUAAUGCAGGAAGCAGAGAACUAAAUAAAAUAUCAUUUCUUUUAUGAAAUUUAUAAGAAACCUGCUCUGAAGCUGUAACUUACGGAGAGAUGUUUCAGAAUACUUAACAAUGUUUUUAUUUUAUACUAUUUGACUUUUCACUCUGAAACUCAGAACUUUGUGGAAUUAUGUGGUAAUAAGAAAUGUAUGGAAGGAAAUGUAUGAGUGCUAAACAUGGCUACAGAGUUAGCAUAUUAAACAGCAGUUCCAGAAGUUCUUAAUGGUAUCCAUUCACAUAUUUUUCAGGCUUUAAGCAUCAGAAACACCCAACACGCUUCCUUCAUUACAGUUUUUCAUUUAGGCCCUGAUUUUUAUUAACCUCAUCUAUGGCUGAAGAUGAAUUACUUUCCCAAUCUAAGGCUGGCAGUCAUGAAGCAUCCCCUUAUCAGCAGCAGGCCAUUUGCUUGAAAAGCAGCUCUCAUGGCAAGAGUUGUGAAUACCCCGCUAACAGCUUGAGGACAAACAGUGCUUGCUUUGUCUGGAGGGCUGAAGCUGAUGGAGAAUGAGUAAAGUAUAACUUCACACAGCUAAGGAUACACAAGUAAGCUUAACUGUCUUAACUUUCUGUUCAGAAAAAGAAUAUGUAUAUUUCUAUAUAAAAGUAGGUCAUCAAUUUAAAACAUCUCCUAAAUAUAAUUGCAUGAGGUUUUUCCACUUCUACCUCUCUUUUCAUAACCAAGUUCUCUUGGCUUUUUCUAGGUGUGUUAUAUGUGCAACAACCCUGUGUGAACCAUGUAGUUUCAUAUUCCGUUUUAAUGAUGUUUUUACUUGUAAUUCACAGCAUGAUGUUCCUGCUAGCAAGGAAUGAUAUCAGAGCCCUCCUGAGACUAAAGUAACAUAUGAACAUUUCUGUAGAAAUGCUGUAAAUCUAAUGGAUAAAUGACUGUUUUGUUUGAAGAUUCACAACAGCUCACCUUUAGCUGUUCUCAAAGUUCUACCUGUUUCCCCAAACAUAUUAAUACGAAAAGUUAGGUUAGUUUUUAUACUCCUCCAUCUUUUCUAAAGCAGAUCAUCAUCCAAUCUGUUUGAUAAGUAAUGGAAGCCAACACUGUGAAAAAAAAAUCAACACAAUUGCCUGCAAUGUCUUCAUGGGCUAAUUUUGUUACAAAAAAGAAGUAAUUAUCCCUGUUUGCAAGUCCAAUCAUCUAAUAAUCAGCACUAUAAAUACUCCUUAAAAAAUGCAUUAAUAAGAUGUGAUAGUUUCUUUGCUAACAGAGGCCUCUAUAUCUGUUUGGACUUUCAGAAAGCCUUAACCUAAGAUCUAGGAAUCAGAGGAAAUAACAAACAAUUUAAGUAGUCAUGCAGGAAUGAAAAUACUAUUCCAGAUUUUACUCUAAAUGUCACAUGUAGCUCCAGUCCCUCUUAAACGCUCACAUUUCUUAAUUGUAAAAAAUAUGCUCACAUAAAGACCUCUCCCCUAGUAAGUUAAACAGCACAGAGGAGUGUUCCCAGGCACAGGAACUGAAAUCAUCUACGCUCAAGUGUUACAAGGGUCUCUGGUAUGUUUUUGGCACUGACUGAUUUGCACUUUCUUUUGCAGUUCCCAGACAGUUUGAGAGACAGAAUAGGCUGUGGACCAUUUCCUCAGCUCAGUGAUUUCACCAGAUAAGAGAGUACAACAUGGGAUUUUUGUUCCAUUUGGCAACAUUGUAGCUGAGUGUGUCCAGCCAAUUUCAGUUUAAUAAACUCUUAAGAAACAGACCA